rnacentral:rRNA from 1 species
UACAGAGGGGGCAAGCGUUGUUCGGAAUUACUGGGCGUAAAGGGCGCGUAGGCGGCCUGCUAAGUCGAACGUGAAAUCCCUGGGCUCAACCCAGGAACUGCGUCCGAUACUGGUUGGCUUGAAUCCGGGAGAGGGAUGUGGAAUUCCAGGUGUAGCGGUGAAAUGCGUAGAUAUCUGGAGGAACACCGGUGGCGAAGGCGACAUCCUGGACCGGCAUUGACGCUGAGGCGCGAAAGCUAGGGGAGCAAACGGG